rnacentral:rRNA from 1 species
UACUAGAGUAGCACUCGCAUAUCAAUAAGCGGAGGAAAAGAAACUAACAAGGAUUCCCCUAGUAACGGCGAGUGAAGCGGGAAGAGCUCAAAUUUGAAAUCUUAAAGGGUUUCCCUUUACGAAUUGUAGUUUAAAGAAGUGUUUUCUGUUGAGGUUUUGGUAAAAGUUCUUUGGAAUAGGACAUCAUAGAGGGUGAGAAUCCCGUAUUUGACCUUUACUUUCAACUUUGUGAUACACUUUCAAAGAGUCGGAUUGUUUGGGAAUGCAGUCCAAAAUGGGUGGUAAAUUUCAUCUAAAGCUAAAUAUUGGCGAGAGACCGAUAGCGAACAAGUACCGUGAAGGAAAGAUGAAAAGAACUUUGAAAAGAGAGUUAAACAGUACGUGAAAUUGUCAAAAGGGAAGCGUUUGACACCAGUGUUGUUUUUCUGAAAAUCAAUUAAAGAACUGUUUAUGCUAAGCUGUUUAGACUUUAUCAGCUAUCUGUUUAGUUUUGAGCUUUUCUUUAAUGCACUUUUCAGUUAACAAGUCAACAUCAAUUUCUUUUGCUGUAAAAAAGCUUGAGGAAGGUGGCUUGAGAUUCGUCUUAAGUGUUUAUAGCCUCUUGCCUAUGCAGUCGGAGAGAUUGAGGUCUGCAGCGUAGAUCCUUCGGGGCUAAAUGCAUUUGUGCUAAGUUAUAGCAUUUUAUAGACAACUUGUUGACUAUGAUUUGUCUUGUAGCUUACUCGCUUAUGUUAUUUUACCUACGCUUAGGAUGUUGAACUACUGAGACAUAGA